rnacentral:lncRNA from 1 species
UUUCUCUCUCUAGCAAUAUGCAAAAUUCGCUGAUGUAUCCUUAAUUUUUUCUCUCUUGCUCUAUGAAACAAGCUUUGAAGUCCCUAAAUCUUGAAAGUUGAAGGCAUUAUUGGCAGAAAAGUUUCCUAAAUCUUGAUGUUUGAAGGCAUUUUUUGGAGAAAAACAUUUCAUCUAGCUAUGUAGAUCUAAAGUAAGUUUAUUCCUCCAGAUUCAUCUCCCUCUUCUUCUUUUUUUGGUAUAAUCUUCCAUUUUUCUUUCUGAUGAUUGAAUAUUAUGUGAUUUGGCUCUUAUAGAUACUCAAUGUUAUUUUGUUAGGACCGAAAAUGAUAAUUUUGUAGGUAAGGCUGGGGGUUGAGGGUCAAAGAGGAGAUAUUUGAGAGUUUAUUUAAGGAUUUUCUCUGUUAGGGUUGCAUAAUUGCUAGGGCUGCCAAGAAAUUUUG